UACGUAGGGUGCGAGCGUUGUCCGGAAUUACUGGGCGUAAAGAGCUCGUAGGUGGUUUGUCGCGUUGUUCGUGAAAACUCACAACUCAAUUGUGGGCGUGCGGGCGAUACGGGCAGACUGGAGUACUGCAGGGGAGACUGGAAUUCCCGGUGUAGUGGUGGAAUGCGUAGAUAUCGGGAGGAACACCAGUGGCGAAGGCGGUUACCUGGAGCUUUGCUGACGCUGAUGCGCGAAAGCGUGGGGAGCGAUCCGG
rnacentral:rRNA from 1 species